rnacentral:rRNA from 1 species
UUAAUUCGAUGCAACGCGAAGAACCUUACCUGGUCUUGACAUCCACAGAACUUUCCAGAGAUGGAUUGGUGCCUUCGGGAACUGUGAGACAGGUGCUGCAUGGCUGUCGUCAGCUCGUGUUGUGAAAUGUUGGGUUAAGUCCCGCAACGAGCGCAACCCUUAUCCUUUGUUGCCAGCGGUCCGGCCGGGAACUCAAAGGAGACUGCCAGUGAUAAACUGGAGGAAGGUGGGGAUGACGUCAAGUCAUCAUGGCCCUUACGACCAGGGCUACACACGUGCUACAAUGGCAUAUACAAAGAGAAGCGACCUCGCGAGAGCAAGCGGACCUCAUAAAGUAUGUCGUAGUCCGGAUUGGAGUCUGCAACUCGACUCCAUGAAGUCGGAAUCGCUAGUAAUCGUAGAUCAGAAUGCUACGGUGAAUACGUUCCCGGGCCUUGUACACACCGCCCGUCACACCAUGGGAGUGGGUUGCAAAAGAAGUAGGUAGCUUAACCUUCGGGAGGGCGCUUACCACUUUGUGAUUCAUGACUGGGGUGAAGUCGUAACAAGGUAACCGUAGGGGAACCUGCGGUUGGAUCACCUCCUUACCUUAAAGAA